rnacentral:rRNA from 1 species
GACGAACGCUGGCGGCGUGCUUAACACAUGCAAGUCGAACGGAAAGGCCCUGCUUUUGUGGGGUGCUCGAGUGGCGAACGGGUGAGUAACACGUGAGUAACCUGCCCUUGACUUUGGGAUAACUUCAGGAAACUGGGGCUAAUACCGGAUAGGAGCUCCUGCUGCAUGGUGGGGGUUGGAAAGUUUCGGCGGUUGGGGAUGGACUCGCGGCUUAUCAGCUUGUUGGUGGGGUAGUGGCUUACCAAGGCUUUGACGGGUAGCCGGCCUGAGAGGGUGACCGGCCACAUUGGGACUGCGAUACGGCCCAGACUCCUACGGGAGGCAGCAGUGGGGAAUAUUGCACAAUGGGCGGAAGCCUGAUGCAGCAACGCCGCGUGCGGGAUGACGGCCUUCGGGUUGAAAACCGCUUUCGCCUGUGACGAAGCGUGAGUGACGGUAAUGGGUAAAGAAGCACCGGCUAACUACGUG